AGGGAACAGCUACUUCUAUUCAUUAAGGCUGAGAAAUUCCUGAGAAAUACAUAAUGUUCCCUGCGGUUUUAGUGUUGCUUCUGGCAAGCUUAGACAGUAUUAAUUCAUAUGACCUCACUCAGCCUGAGUUACUGACUGUUCGACCUGGUGACACUCUGACUAUCAACUGUAAAGUCUCUUAUUCAGUUACUAGUGCAGCAACAGGCUGGAUUCGUCAGCCUGCAGGAGAAGCUCUGGAGUGGAUUGGAGUGAUCUACAGUGGUGGGAGCUCAGACUACAAGGAUUCACUGAAAAACAAGUUCAGUAUCACCAGAGACACCUCCAGUAACACAAUCACAUUGAAGGGGAAUAAUAUACAAGCUCAAGACACAGCUGUGUAUUAUUGUGCCAGAGAAUCACAGUGACACACACUAACAGCCUUCCAGUACAAAAACAUCAUCAUAUCAUAAAUUAGGACAUUCAUGGAAAAUGUCUGCAACAAUAACAACUACUGCCAUUACUGUUACUAUUACUGUUAAGAAUAGAGGAAGAGGCAAACGGGAGGUGUGGAUCCAAACGCGGAACUUUAUUAUAGGCAGCUAAAAUAACAUAAAAACACGGGAACAAAAGAAAACAUCCACAAUGGGAAAACAGAGACUGAACCUUGAAAGGACACGCGGACAUCUACAAGGGGCACAGGAACCUCGAACGAGUGAGUAAUCACAGGAAACAAGGAGCUAACACAUACAACGAUCGACAAGGAGUGGAAAACACACAGGGUUUAUAUACACAGACACAGGAGGAUCACAAACGACAAACAGGUGCAAACAAUGACACAAUAAUGGCAGUGAGAAGAUCUGGGAAUUGUGGGAAGUGUAGUUUUUCACAAGGACAGUGAGACUCGGGGUGGACAACAGGGAAAACGGGACAUGGAAUAUGAACGGUGAAACGGAAAACACGGGACAGGCAACAAGGAAUGGUAACAUAACCCCCCUCAAAAGGACCGGAUUCCAGACGGUCCUGAAAAACACAAUAAUAACAAAACCAACCAAAUGUUCAAGGAGAGAGGGGCUAGAACUGGGGGUGAACAGACAGACCAAAGGGGGCACAGAGACAGUCCACGGAGGAACAAGGGGUGGACAGGCAGACCAAGGAGGCCGAGAGGGCAGACAGGCAGUCCACGGGGGAGUGAGACGGGGCCAGGGUCAGGUGGCCUGGGGGGCAUCCACCAGGUAGGGACUGGUUUAGGUGGUCUAGGAGGCAGCCACACUAUGGGGACAGGUUUGGGUGGCCCGGGAGCUGGCCACAAGGCAAGGGCCGGUUCAGGGAGCCUGGGAGGUGGCCACAGGACAGAGGCUGGUUGAGGUGGCCUAGGAGGUGGCUUUAGGGCAAGGACCGGUUCAGGGGGCCUGGGAGGAGGAGUGGCCAUUGGGGGAGCCAGCGGAGCCACGUGAGGCGGGGCCGAGGGAGGCCAUGGCUUAGAAGGCUCAGAAGGUGGAGCUGAGGGAGCCACUGGAGGUGGAGCCGGGGGAGGCUCAGGAGGUGGAACUGAAGGAGGCUCUGGAGGCGGAGCCGUGGGAGGCUCGGGAGGCUCAGGAGGUGGAGCUGAAGGAGGCUCUGGAGGCGGAGCCGUAGGAGGCUCGGGGAGAAGAGCCGUAGGAAGCUGAGGAGGCGGAGCCCUAGAAAGCUCUGGAGUCUUUGGGAGCAGAGCCGUAGGAGGCUCGAGAGGCGGAGCCCUGGAAGGCUCGAGAGGCGGAGCCCUGGAAGGCUCGAGAGGCUCGAGAGGCAGAGCCCUGGAAGGCUCGAGGGGCGGAGCCCUGGGUGGCUCAAGGGGCUUGAGAGGCGGAGCCCUGGGAGGCUCGAGAGGCUUGAGAGGCGGAGCCCUGGGAGGCUCGAGAGGCUUGAGAGGCGGAGCCCUGGGAGGCUCGAGAAGCUUGAGGGGCGGAGCCCUGGGAGGCUCGAGAGGUGGAGCCCUGGAAGGCUCGGGUGACUUGAGAGGCGGAGCUCUGGAAGGUUCGAGAGGCUUGAGAGGCGGAGCCCUGGAAGGUUCGAGUGACUUGAGGGGCGGAGCCCUAUUAGGCUCGAGAGGAGCCCUGGAAGACUUGAGAGACU